rnacentral:RNase_P_RNA from 1 species
CACGCAGACCGCCUUAUCGUCCAAUCUUUAAGUUUGGGAGGAAAGUCCGGACACCACAGAGUAAGCAUAGCGGGUAACGCCCGUCCGUCGUGAGGCGAGGACAAGUGCAACAGAAAGUAUGUACAGGUAAUGCUGUAGUGAAACCAGGUAAACUCUAUGCGGUGAAAUGCCAUGUAUAUCAGCAGUUAAGAGUUACUCGCUCGUUGCUGAGGGGUAGGCAGCUCGAUCUUACAAGUAAUUGUAAGGCUAGAUAAAUGAUAAGGCUACAUUUUUAUGUAGACAGAAUCCGGCUUAUAGGUCUGCUUUUUUA